rnacentral:rRNA from 1 species
UACGAAGGGUGCAAACGUUGCUCGGAAUCAUUGGGCGUAAAGCGCACGUAGGCGGCUUCGCAAGUCGGAUGUGAAAUCCCGUGGCUCAACCAUGGACGUGCAUUCGAAACUGCGAGCUUGAGUAUGGAAGAGGGUCGCGGAAUUCCCGGUGUAGAGGUGAAAUUCGUAGAUAUCGGGAGGAACACCAGUGGCGAAGGCGGCGACCUGGGCCAAUACUGACGCUGAGGUGCGAAAGCGUGGGGAGCAAACAGG